GGGGUUGUGGCUCAGUGGUAGAGCACUUACCUGGCAUGUGUGAGGCACUUGGUUCAAAUCCUCAGCACCA
rnacentral:tRNA from 1 species